GAUGAACGCUGGCGGCGUGCCUAAUACAUGCCAGUCGAGCGAACGGACGAGAAGCUUGCUUCUCUGAUGUUAGCGGCGGACGGGUGAGUAACACGUGGAUAACCUACCUAUAAGACUGGGAUAACUUCGGGAAACCGUAGCUAAUACCGGAUAAUAUUUUAAACCGCAUGGUUCAAAAGUGAAAGACGGUCUUGCUGUCACUUAUAGAUGGAUCCGCGCUGCAUUAGCUAGUUGGUAAGGUAACGGCUUACCAAGGCAACGAUGCAUAGCCGACCUGAGAGGGUGAUCGGCCACACUGGAACUGAGACACGGUCCAGACUCCUACGGGAGGCAGCAGUAGGGAAUCUUCCGCAAUGGGCGAAAGCCUGACGGAGUAACGCCGCGUGAGUGAUGAAGGUCUUCGGAUCGUAAAACUCUGUUAUUAGGGAAGAACAUAUGUGUAAGUAACUGUGCACAUCUUGACGGUACCUAAUCAGAAAGCCACGGCUAACUACGUG
rnacentral:rRNA from 1 species